CUCGCUCCUACAGUAGGCUACAGUAUGACGACAUGAGAUUUGCACAGAAUGAACUGGAGCGGAAUCGGAUUACAUAGGCUCACACAAAUGACAGAGUGCAGGCUGCGGAGUUGGAGGACACACACAUUUGACCACACUGAGUUAAACACAAGUUAAGUCUGCGCUGCCUGUUCUUGCUGCUGCUCAUCCUGUGAUGGUCUUUGGAUGUUCCUGAGAGGUUUAUCAUUGACACAAUGUCACAGAGGACAGAACGGACACGGCCUCCUGGGGUCACAGUUGGAGGGGAAGGGUGAGAACUCUACCAGCCUUCAGACAAAGCUGCUGGAACAAAUAAUUGACAGGUUGCCUUGAAAACCAACCGACUCAUCUGCAUGAGACAAAUAAGCCUUGUAGCACAG